rnacentral:lncRNA from 1 species
GUGACACUCAAGUACAAGUUUGUCAAUUAGAAUGAAGCAAAGGAAAGAAUGAUUAAAAGAAAAGAAAAUAAAAGACUUGUCAAAACAUUAUAUAGUUGCAAUAUUACAUUAUAUCUUGGGGUGUCUCAUUUGAUUAUUCAUUUAUUUUUCAAAUAAUCCUUAUUGAACAUAAUUUAUGGUGGUAGACACUAUGGUAGGCCAGGAACAUAUAGACAUAAAAUACAAUCCUGUCCUCAUGUUGCUGUUGGUUUAGUUGUAAUAAUACUAGAAUGAAAGGAAGUACAGGUUGCCAAGAGAAUGGGGAGCCUGGGCAAGGCUUCACUUUGGAAAGAUAAGUACACAGUUGUUCAUUUAAAUGGAUUUAAUGGAUGGUGGUGUGGUCUAUGUUGUGUGUGAAAGGCAAUUGCAAAUCUGGGAAAGUAUGUAUGAGGAAACCUGGUUCACUUGGGAAUGGAGAGAAUGAAGAAAUGGGUUUGGGGUAGAUUUGGAAGAUGAGGUUGGAAGAGGUGUGUCUGGCUCUCAAGAUUUCUUUUGCUUCAUCAGUGAGUAAGAAGAAUCACUGAAGGCUACUAGGCUGGGGAGCAGCAUUGAAAAGAAAGAAUAUUUGCCUGCUUAGUCCUCUCAUCUGGGCUUUUCUCUUAGCAGUCAAGGCCAGGCAUUUCAUGUAGGUCCCCUGUCCUAGGUAAUGACCCUGGGAGAUCUUAGAGAUUCCCUUCUUUCCUGUCCAGGGGUAACCUCUUGCCUAGCAGAGCCUAUAGCUCCUGCUCAAGAUACCUGAUCAGAGGAGCCCUCUUCAUUUUACUUCUUGGCUGCCUUGAACCUCAAAGGGACAUAAAUGGUUAAUAGAAUUCUGGGGCCUUGUUGGAAUAACUUUCGGUUUACUGCUAGCAGCUAGCAGCUAUGAGCAACUCGGAGUGCUUGAAAAAUCUAUGCUCAUUCAGGCCUGACAGGAACACCUGCAGGAUGGGGUACUCUGCUCUAGUGAGUCGUAAGUGAAACCUCAUCCUCAGCAUUUGUGGUUAGCAUGGCCAAACUACCGGGCCAGGAAACCAAGAGUCAGGAAACCCCUGACUCUGAAGGCCCCCUCCCCUAGGGACAAAGACCCUUCCAGACUGCUUUCCAC